GUUAACAGAGCAUGAAAUUUUUACUUAUAAGCGAUCAAAAAAUUAUAAUUUUGAUUACAUGCAAACAAUAAAAAAUAUGGAUCUAUUUCAAAUGUUUGUUUAUGCUUUCUUCAUCUUUCUUUCUAUAGCACAUCGUCCUCCUGCCAACACCAUUCCAUGCUUUGGUACUAAAGAUAAAUGUCCAUUUAAUUUAUAUUACAAGGUUGAAUGCAUUGAUGGAUUUUGUUACUAUCCAGUUUAAAAAUAAUAAUAUUACUCUAAACGUAUAAUGUCAUUUGUAUGUAAUAAAUAAAUGUGUAUUAUUAUUAUUAUUAUUAUGAUUAUUAUUAUUAUUAUUAUUAUUAUUAUUA